UCCUUCAUCCCCUGAAGGCCAAGGGUUGGGUGAUGCUUGACGUUGCACUGCCACUGCUACUUCAGGCUGGAGAUAAGGGAAAAGCUUUCCACCAUGAGCAAUAUCUGUCGUUGGAGGUUUCCAAGACCCACGCAAAGAGGAGAAAGCCCCACUCAACCUGGUCUGAGCCCAGCGCUGCCCAUGCUGUGAGUAGGAUGGUGGAGUUGGGGUCUCCUGUGGUUCCUUCCAACCUGAAUUAUCCCAGCAUCUUCUGCUCAGCGGAUCCCCACAGACCGGGGUCAGAGUGAAGGUGCAAAGCCAUGUCAGCGAUGGAGCAGCCCAGACCUACAGCAACCAGGGCAGGUCUUUUUGGGAAGGAGAAGCUGAG
rnacentral:lncRNA from 1 species